AAGUCGUAACAAGGUCUCCGUUGGUGAACCAGCGGAGGGAUCAUUAUUGAGUUUCUAUCUCUUCUACCCUUUGUGAACCUUACCUUUUGCCUUCCCUAUACCCUAGGGGAAGCUGUUUUUUUUUUUGUCUACCUAACAUAACUCUUACUAGAUGUUUUUAAACUUGCUGAGUUAAGCAUAUUGUAAAAUGAAAUCAAAACUUUCAACAACGGAUCUCUUGGUUCUG
rnacentral:misc_RNA from 1 species